rfam:Oleiphilus sp. HI0009 HI0009_c202, whole genome shotgun sequence.
GCCGAUGUGGUGGAAUUGGUAGACACGCCAUCUUGAGGGGGUGGUGAGCUAUGCUCGUGACGGUUCAAAUCCGUCCAUCGGCA